rnacentral:rRNA from 1 species
UUAAAUGAAUAAGGGCGUAUGGUGGAUGCCUAGGCAUGUAGAGCAGAAGAAGGACGCAGCUAACGGCGAAACGCGACGGGGAGUGGUAAGCACACAUCGAUCCGUCGGUCUCCGAAUGGGGAAACCCAGCGCGAGUAAUGUCGCGUUACCCAUGAGUGAAUACAUAGCUCAUGAGGAGAGAACCCAGGGAAUUGAAACAUCUUAGUACCUGGAGGAAAAGAAAAUAAGAAUGAUUCCCUCAGUAGCGGCGAGCGAACGGGGAAGAGCCCAAACCAGCCUAAGGGCUGGGGUAGUAGGACCACGACGUGGUACAGUAACCGAUAGAAGAAGGACAUUGAAAGGUCCGCCAAAGAGGGUGCAAGCCCCGUAAUCGAAAUUGGGAGCUGACCUAGUGGAAUCCUGAGUACGGCGAGGCACGUGGAACCUUGUCGGAAGCAUCCGGGACCAUCCGGAAAGGCUAAAUACUCCUACAUGACCGAUAGUGAACCAGUACCGUGAGGGAAAGGUGAAAAGAACCGCGGGAGCGGAGUGAAAGAGAACCUGAAACCGUAUGCCUACAAGAAGUCAGAGCCCGUUAAAGGGUGAUGGCGUGCCUUUUGUAGAAUGAACCGGCGAGUUACGUUAUCGUGCGAGGUUAAGUAGAAGAUACGGAGCCGAAGCGAAAGCGAGUCUUAAUAGGGCGGCAGUACGAUGACGUAGACCCGAAACCGUGUGAUCUAGCCAUGACCAGGUUGAAGUUCAGGUGAAACUGAAUGGAGGACCGAACCGACCCCCGUUGAAAAGUUGGCGGAUGAGUUGUGGCUAGGGGAGAAAUUCCAAUCGAACACGGAUAUAGCUGGUUCUCCCCGAAAUAGCUUUAGGGCUAGCGUCGAGGGAAAGUAUAUUGGAGGUAGAGCACUGAAUGUACGAUGGCCCCAUCCCGGGGUACUGAGUAUAAUCAAACUCCGAAUGCCAAUAUAUAUACUCGGCAGUCAGACUGUGGGUGAUAAGGUCCAUGGUCAAAAGGGAAACAGCCCAGACCGCCAGUUAAGGUCCCAAAAUGUAUGCUAAGUGGAAAAGGAUGUGGGGAUGCACAGACAACUAGGAGGUUGGCUCAGAAGCAGCCACCCUUCAAAGAGUGCGUAACAGCUCACUAGUCGAGUGACCCUGCGCCGAAAAUUAACCGGGGCUAAGCGGUAUACCGAAACUAUGGCAAUGAUGUAAAUCAUUGGGUAGGGGAGCGUUCCAUGGGCAUUGAAGCUGUACCGUAAGGAGCAGUGGAGCGCAUGGAAGUGAGAAUGCCGGUGUGAGUAGCGAGAUGCAGGUGAGAAUCCUGCACACCGAUAGACCAAGGAUUCCAGGGGAAGGUUCGUCCGCCCUGGGUAAGUCGGGACCUAAGGCGAGGCUGAAAAGCGUAGUCGAUGGACAACAGGUUGAUAUUCCUGUACCCGCGCAUCGAGUGAUGGAGUGACAAAGAAGGCUAACCGGACCGGUAAAUGGAUUCCGGACCAAGCGAGGUAGGAGGCAGUCAGGCAAAUCCGGCUGUCAAUCUGAAGGCGUGAUGGGGAGUGAACAGCGCGAGCUAAGUAGCGAAGACGGCGAUGCCAGCUUUCAAGAAAAGCUUCUAGCGCUAAUCGAUGAGCGGCCCGUACCAAAACCGACACAGGUGGUCAAGGCGAGAAGCCUAAGGUGAGCGAGAGAACUGUUGCCAAGGAACUCGGCAAAAUAGCCCCGUACGUUCGCAAGAAGGGGCGCUCGAAAGAGCCGCAGUGAAGAGGCCCAAGCAACUGUUUAACUAAAACACAGCUCUCUGCAAAGUCGCAAGACGAAGUAUAGGGGGUGACGCCUGCCCGGUGCUGGAAGGUUAAGAGGAUAUGUUAGUCGCAAGACGAAGCAUUGAAUUGAAGCCCCAGUGAACGGCGGCCGUAACUAUAACGGUCCUAAGGUAGCGAAAUUCCUUGUCAGGUAAG